GAAUAAUAAUACUAACGAUCAAAUUUUAUUUUUAGAUUAUCAUUGAAGAAAAUUCCAACCUCUACGAUUGAAAUAUAUUUCCCGAUCUCGAGUUGAAACGACAUCUUUAGAAAUAUUUGAUAUUUCGCUUGAAGCAUUAUACAUUGACGAUGAAUCAUUUCACAUAUCACAGACCAUCAAAAUGAAAAUCUAUCCAAUAAAUUGAAAUAAAGAAGAAGAUAUUAAUAUGGGAAAUGUAAUCAUCAAACCAAAUAUAUCAACCAAAUCCAUCAAAAAAUUACAACCAUGAAUCCCUCGAAUCGAUAUAAUGAUAUCUCCUUCGAGGAUGGAAAAUUAUAUUACAAAGAGAGAAAAAAAAAAAAGAAAAAAAAAUCAGCAGUGGCAGCGUUUCUUCACAGAUGAUCGAACGUAUCGAUAGUCAUCGAGCAAUUCCUCGCUACCAAACUGAAAGAAGAUUAUUAAUCACCGGAAAUUACGCUCCGCUGAUUUACCAGCGAAAAAUGGGAGAUGAAAGUUGCUUCGAAUCGGGAACAAACGGAGGUUGAGAAGGGAGGAAGGAAGAAAAAAAAGUGAGCUGAAGAGAAAAAGAGAAGAGGGAAAGAAAACGGCGGAAAUGGAAGGAAGAAAGGCACCGGGUGUAUACACAGAAGGACUCGCGAAGAAGUCUAUAGAAAGCUGGAAUAGAGGAAAAACACGAGAUCCUCUCACUUGCUCCAAUUGACUCGCCAGUAAUUCCAUCCUUCUUCAACCCUUUUCAGCCAAUAAAAGAAUCCUCGAGAAGGGCCACGAGCCCGUGGAGACUGGACGACAAAAUCUGAUUGGAUUAUUUGCUUACAGAGGCCCCUUCGGAAGCCUCUGUACAAGGUGUUUUUAAAACGUUUGCUCAAGCCUUUCGGCCCCCUCUUUCUUCUUUUUUUCAUCCUCUUUUGAAUUUUAAAGCUUAAAGGUUUCAUGAUGUGAAACUACACUACUCUACUCUCUGGCAAAUCAUUCCGUAUUUUUUUGCGAGUUUUUUGCGGAUUUUGUGGAAAACUUGACUUUGUUUGAUGAGAUAAAAUGAAAGAGAGGAAGGUGGAAGAGGAAGAUUUUGUUCUUUGAUCGUAUUGAGUAACGUCGUUUGAGAAGAGAAAUGUUGGAUAUAUUGUUGAAAAUUGAAAGAUUUGUAACGUCCAUGGUUUAAUUUUGUUGAAUUAAAAAUUUGGAAUAUAAAUCAAGGUGUGAUAAAGUUAGUAACUUAACGUCACUUGGAUCGAAUGCAGGCUUUCAACUGAAAUCUGGAUUAAUCCUUGCCAGAUCUUACCUGAGAUCUAACUUAGUUGAGUUCUAAUCCACACCUGAUCCAAACCUAACCUACUCUAAUCCAGUUGAGGUCAUACACCCAACUAAAACCUAAUCCCACUCUGUGGAAACCCUAAAUAAUAUCCAAGCUAUUCUAAUUCCUAUUGAAAUUUAUCACUCUUUUUUUUAUUACAUUCUCCAAAGAACUCAAUAUAGAAGAAAUAUUGAGUUCUAAAUAAUAGAGCUUAAUAAAGGCUUUAUUAAUGUUAAUAUAUGUGUUGAUAAAAGACAAGAAAAUUUUGUUGAACUCUUGUGAUAAAAUAUAAAAAUCUAAAAUCGAUUUCUUUCUUCUUUAAAUGUAUAUUAGAAGCAUAAAAAUAAUAUGAAAAUUUCAAUGAACAUGUGUAUAAUGGAAAAAUGAAAAAACUUUUAAAAGUAAUAUUUUGUAUUCUGCGAAAAAGAAAGUACUUCACCAGCAACCAAUUAUGUUACAAUUCAGAAUCAUCGUGAACAAUAUCUCUCUGGUUUCUUCAAGCUUAAAGAGAAGAAGAAUAUGACUGGUCAUUGGAUUGAUAAAUGGGGACCAUUUAAAAGGAUCUGCGUGAACUUUACAUCUAGAUUCCUUGGAUCCUCUUGCAUGGAAUAUUUCGUUCUCAAAUGGCCAGUUACUACUAUACUCGACAACCCUUGGAAUCACCUCAUAAAACAACCAUCUUCGAAAAUAUCGUCUCGUUCCUUGCAUCUUUAUAUUCUUUUGAAUAAUACAUGUUUGCUUUAUUGUGUUCAAAAUUUAUUAAAAUUGAUUUGUGAAUAUUAGAUCAUUCUGUAAAUAAUUUUGUUUAUUCUUUAUUUAUUGAACUUUUAAAAUAAAAUUCAUCUGAAUAAUUAAACCAGUAAACUUUGAUGCAAAAAAAAAACAAGUAGUUGCAAAUUGCAAAAAAUUAAGCUCUUAGAGUGAUCAUAUUUAUUAAAUAAUUCAAUAAAAUUUUAUAGAAAUCUUCAUUCUCAUAAAAAACGUACGAAUCAUUAAGAAGAAAAACUGUAUCAUAAAAUUCUCUAGAUAGAUCAAUGUAUAACAUUUGAUGAAAAAGAUACGAAUGGAAAGAUCGUUUGAAAAUUUGCGACAUUGCGAGAGGUGAGAAUGGUUGCUGUUAACGAGCAGAAAAUUGCCAGAAAACACGGUAUAUCGCGAUUUGAAAACUCCCGUGGUGAACAGACGGUGAACCAAUAUCGUGAAUUUCUCGAAACUGGAGCAUCGUACCUGUGAGUUCGAUACGCGAGCCUGUUGAAAAUUUUCCUGAAGAAACAAGAAUUA